UUACGGUCUCUCAAUGCUAACUUCCGUCAAAACAAGAAAUCUGCUGAAGAGAACGUGUGGAUUUUUGGCAUCUCGGAGUAGCCCGUCGCAAGGUGCCUGGUCGUGCAUCAAACGCGGAUAUGGUGUGACUGAUCGUUAACGCCUGCAUCUUCGUGGCCAGGAAGAUCAGAGCGUCUAUUGGGAAUACAGAGGCACCUGAAGCCCCCUCAAAGGAAUCAUGCAAACUCAAAGGUAAAGGAAAAGAUGAGAAGGCAUUUGAGAAACCUCUCCCGGUGAAUGCUGAAGAGCUUGAUGUCCCUGGACCUUCACCAUCGACUGCAUGUCAGAAAUAUGGCUCUUGAGGUUAAGGGUUGCACUGGUUGAGCACAAUGGGUUUGGGUUUUAUUUCAAGGUCCAGUUUAGACAUCUAGAGGACAUAGUGUCAUAAGCCGGUACCGCCGUCUGGUGUGCCAUUGUUAAACAUGUCCUUAGGGCACCUCUAGCAGAAAGUUUAUGUGAAGUCCUAAUAGCCGUUCUCUGCUAUGGAGCCAUUCUGAUCUACACCAUGCAGCAUUAAGUUCUCCAGAUAAGACGUUAAUCAGAUAUCAGUGCAUUGUGCUUAGCACUAAUGGAUCUGUGUGCCUUGUAACUGCUGCUCAACUCAUCACAUCAGCCAGACAUGAUAAAACUCCUCAGGUUUUAGAUUCCCACAUAUGUCUGGAAUCGUAGAAAACCCCCAAAGUCCACAAACUGUAGAUUGGCAAAGUAAAUAUUCUCAUGUCCAUCCUUGAAAAAACUUCAAAUUGGCUGCCUUGAACCAGCGAAUGUCCGACCAGAGUAGCCAUAAAAUCUAAUGAGGAGUCAUGACAAAUGCCUCUUGUUGUAGGUGCGGUUCAGCAUCACUUAAUAUUGGAGAACGGCUUUUAGGGUCCGGCACCCGAUUAAGUCUAUGGGCGGAGAGGUGCCUUGUUUUACAGCAUGCCUUUUUUAAAAAUUUAAAGGGAAUUCACUUUAUGGAAAGCAGGGACCCAGCCCUUGCAUUUAGUGAUUCAUUUUUUUGGAUUUUUGAUAACACUCUGAAACUCAACAUGUCUAAAUGUGCAAUAAAUAUGUAUUGAAAAACCCCAAACUCUGCAACCAAGUGCCUCCUGACCAACUCACGUCUGUGUCUUAAUGGGAGCAGCAGCGAAUGAUGGCUUUGUCACCAACUCCCUAACUAUGGGAGAUGAUGAGCUCUGAAAAGAUCUGUUGACAUCCCACAGUUUAUGUUUCAAUAAAGUUUGACUCCUUUGUAAUUAUCA